CCCCCUUUUCCUUUUGCAAGUUUAUCUUGCUGCAGUUGCUUUUGUAAAAGCUUGUCAACAGUUUGACUGUGUCACUUCACUACGGCUUUGAGAAGAAAUGUCAGUUUGUUUCCCAGUGCUGCUGCCAUGUUAGACAAAAAAAAAAGCCAAACUUUAGUGAAAAGUGUUUGGUUAUCUUGAAUCUUUAUGACUGCAACAUGUAGAGAGAGAAGAAGCAGAGUAACUGGAGGAAAAUAGCUGAAGAAAUGGAGUUCCUGCCUGAAAGCCUUAUUCUCCACUGAGGAUCAUUCACCCAGAAAUCACUGCUUCAUUUUAACAAGGUGGCACCAAGGGUGGCCAAUCAAAUUCUGGAGGCGGCUGGCGCCACCCCCUUGGCUCUACUCAUGACUGGAACCUGCUGUUACUUAUGAAGAAGAAGUAGAAGACUAGAAUAACAUCUUGUUGGGUCCUUGGGAUAAAGAUUUGUUGUUGGGCUCCCACUGACCCCCACUAUGUAUGACAGUGUCUUUAUUUCUCUUGACAACCAGAAACCAAUUUAAUUAGUUCACUGAAAGAAAAUUUAAUGGCAGCAAUUCUGACAACUGCUUAACCGUUUAAAUGAUUAUUAGGCAGUGUCAAAAAUUCACUUGUUCCAGCUUCUCAAAUGUGAAUAUUUGCUAAUUAUACAGGUGCAUGAGAGUAAUGUGUUGGUGUUGUUGACUGCUGUUCAUACAA